rnacentral:lncRNA from 1 species
UUUGGACACAUUCAUGAAGGUAUACUGGUAUGAUUAUUAAUUUUAUGUUAAAUUUUCUCCAGGUACUUGUACAGUCAAGCAAGACUGAAGUUCUAAUUGGAAUUCUACAAAAGGAGGCCUCUCAGCCUCGAGCAGAUUAGAAUUUGCAUGUUAAACUGACUGAUGGCCAUCAUGGCAUUGUUUUGUUCAUGUGUAUCUAGAGAGAGAUGAUUGUGGUAGUACUAUAGCUCACUUUAUGUGUGGUAGAGUCGCUACAUGUCGAGUGGAGUUUAUGCAGGGGAUCAUUUGCAGCUGAGCACCUCAUGUUAAAAGGAGAUGCUACAGGUGUUUGCCCUUUCUCCUGUAUUUCUGGGAGUAAUUGUUUGUCUUCUGGCCACUACAGUAUAGAUGAAAUGUCACAAUAUUCAUUGAAGUUGAUAUUGUUUUGUUGUUGGGAGCACCUUAGCAUGCACAUUGUCUCCUGUAGCUUUGCACUGUCCAUCUAAUACACCAUCAUAGUUACUGUUUAGGUUAUAUAUGGAUUUGCAAACCUGUAUAUUGAGAUCCUUGGCUUAUGUCACUUCUAUAGCUGUUUGUAUUAGCAUAGCUUGAAAAUUCUAUCUGUAUCAUGAUACAGGAUAAGCAGUGUCACAUAGACCUCUUGUAAUCUGGUUGUCUUCAAAAAGUGAUGAUUUAAUAGAUCUAAGCAGAUCUCUUAUUUCUCAAAUUCUAUCACACGCUACUAAUGCAUAUUUGUUUCUUUGAACACGCAGCGGUGUGCCUCUUCCCUGGGCGCCACUCUCCCGCUGCUCCUCCGACCCAAAUGCCGAUAAAAUGGAGCUCGCCAAGGUAUCAUCCCCCACUAUGCUCCCUCUCUCUCAUGUUCUGCAUGUCCCUGCCAUCGGUUACCUGGGGGUGUUGCUUAUUUUCAGUAUUACACAAAAUUCUGUGUGUCUAGUAUGAGAUUUGAAAAGAUGAGAUGAGUUGUUGUCUGAUUAUCAGCACAUUCUUUUUAUUGUGCUAUGUAUGGUAUGUUUUUGAAUAUGUUUUAUGCCAGACUCCAACUUUAGCAGCAACACUAGCAGUAUGUGAUGCCUCAUGUGGCUUUAGUUAGUCAAUUCACUGUUAACAGCAAGUAUUUUUGUUAUUAAGAUAACCACCAUGACUUGAUACUUGUAAUCUGAUUAGCUACUCCUUUGCAAUUCUUUGUAGUGGCUCAACCUAUGGUAGAUAAAAUUUAUGUUGUCAAGCUUUACCUUGAGAGAAUUUGUAUGCUAGGAUGAUUAUGCUCAUAAUCCAUUCACAUGGUACUGCUGCAGGCACACUUCAUGGACAAGGAGGACCACCCACGACGAUGAACAUGUGUGACCUCACCCCCGAGCCUGAUGAGCUCGACAACGACAACAUCGUCAACCUUGAUCUCGAUGACAAGGUUGAUCCCUAGCUUAGUGCCGACACCAAAGAGCAAGCCCGCCUUCUCCAGAGUUUGCAAAGGAGCUUUAUGUUUAGGGCAUGGUUGUUUGCAGAGAGGGGCAGACACUACUUCGAUCCUUUGACAGAUAGUUCUUCAUAAUGUGAUAGUGUAUAGGCCUUCUUUCUGGGGACCUACUGCUCAACUACUCCACUCCUUGGCUUCUACCGACCAAAAAUUUUACAAAUCUGUCUACAUGUUUUGUUUCUAUAUAUUUACAAAUAUCC